CAGAGAAGCUGUGAGUCUGUUCAGCAGGAGGAAGAGGAGCUGAGAGCUUCAGGGAGGAGCUGAGCUGUUACUGAACUAUAGAAGAGACACAAACUUCCACAUUCAACACAGUUCAAACAUUAACUCUGAUCAUCAUGGACUAUUAUGGACUUUCUCUGCUGGUCGCCUCACUGCUAACAGGAAUCCGCUGUGAAGGACUGACUGCGGUUAAAACAGAGAUCUCCAGCUUAGAGGGCAGCUCUGUCACUCUGUCCUAUAAUUAUCCCAACCUGCAAACUGGAGAUUAUUUCUUCUGGUACCGUCAGUAUCCAGGAGAAGCUCCAGAGCUUCUGAUCUCUCACUCUCCUACAGGAGUUGAAGGAAUUAAAAAUGUUCCUGAACUGAAGAUUAAAGUGAACAAACCCCAGAUGGACCUGCUGAUCUCCUCUGCUGCAGUGACAGACUCUGCUGUGUACUACUGUGCUGUGCAGCCCACAGUGACAGGAAACACCAGAACUCUGUACAAGAACCUGCAAUCCUCCACAGCAUCCACUAGAGGGCCUCACACACUGUUAAACCACUGAUUCACAGGGCUGAUGAAAGAGGCCCUCUCACUACAGUCAUGAGUUUUGAGAAUGACACAAAUAUUAUAUUUCCAGAUGAUCUGCUGCCCUCUGGUUUUCAUAUGUGUUUGUCAGAUGAUGUCAUCACAUACAGAAAUACAAUUGCAACCAUUUUAUGAGUAACAAAAGCUUUUAAUGACAGUUAGAAUGAGUUAUUGCAACAAGUCAAUAUUUGCAGUGUUGACCGCUUUCCUUCAGGACCUCUGCAAUUCUCCCUGGCUGCUCUCAAUCAACUUAUGGACCAAAUCCUGACUGAUAGCAGUCCAUUCUUGAACAAUCAAUGCUUGCAUUUUGUCAGA